GCCCUGGUACCCCUCUAUUGGAAGCAUGAGUGGGGAAAUUAACUCAAAUAUUGCCGCAGUGAUCUUCUAAUUUAUGAUGUAAAUGAACAUAUUUGUUACUUUGAUAUUGCUGUUCAAAUAUACAUGUCAGGUUUAGAUAUUAAUUUCAUGAUUCUGGUUGAUAAUUUGGGUUCCAUCCUCCUGGUUGUAUGAUGUCUUACAUU
rnacentral:lncRNA from 1 species